rnacentral:lncRNA from 1 species
AUUCUUUAUUGUUGCCUUGUUCAGCUCUCUAUAAUCGAUGCACAUUCUCAUACUUCCAUCUUUCUUCUUCACGAAUAACACCGGAGCUCCCCAGGGUGAUGAACUAGGUCUAAUGAAACCUUUGUCCAAUAACUCCUGAAGUUGCAUCAUCAGCUCCUUCAUCUCCGUUGGUGCUAAUCAGUAAGGUGCUUUUGCAAUCGGCGUUGUUCCAGGCAACAAGUCAAUACGGAAUUCCACUUGUUGAUCAGGCGGUAAUCCAGGAAGAUCUUUGGGAAAUACUUCCGGAUAAUCACACACAACAGGAAUAUUAUGCAUCACCUUCUUUUCCUUCUUAGCAUCGAUCACGAAUGCUAAAUAUGAUGUACACCCCUUGGUCAAACAUUUUCUGGCUUUCAUUAAAGAAAUGAUUCUAGAAUUUACUCUGCGUUUAUCUCCAUACACCAUAAAUGAUUCCUUCCCAGGCGGGUUUACUUUCACUAUUUUUGUCUUGCACAAUAUCUCGGCGUCAUUGGCGCUAAACCAAUCCAUUCCCAAGACGAUGUCGAAACCAUUAAGUUCGAUAGGCAAUAAUUCCUCGUGGAACUUGUUCCCAUUCAGAUCAAUUAAGAUGUUUUUUAUACGAUGGCUAACAGGUACAAAUUUGCCACUAGCAACUUCGACUAAUAAAGCAUCAUCUAGUCUAACAACAGGAAAAGCUAGUUUUCUACCAAAUUCAUGUGAAAUAAAGGAGUAGUUGGCUCCAGAAUCAAAUAAAACUUAGGCAGGCAAUUCGUUAACGAGAAAGGUACCUGAAGCGACAUUAGCUUCAUCUUUGGCAGCUUCCAAUGUCAUCUGGAAUGCUCUCGCUUUUGGCUUUGGCGGGAUAUUGGCUCUUGCUGCUUCCUUCUUCUUAGGGCAGUCCCUCGACAUGUGACCCUCCUCACCACAACCAUAGCAAACUUUCUUGGUAAGUGUGCAUUCGUUGGCAUAGUGCCCUGGUUUUCCACAUUUAAAACAUGUGGCCACCACUUCACACUUUCCAUGAUGCUUCUUUUUACAUUUUUCGCACCAUUUGGCUUCACCUCCUCCUCCUCUCGAACUAGACUUCAAGAAUUUACGUUUCUUGUUGGACCCUGAAGGUCCAUCAAAUUUCCUCUUUUCACCAACCUCUAUCCUUUCUAGACCCUUUUCCUUCAGCUGGGCCUCCACAUUCUUAGCUGCUCGAACAGUUGUUUUAAGAGUAGUUGCCAUCUUGACUGUCGGACCAAAGUCGGCAGGCAGUCCAUUAGCGAACCUCUCAAUCUUGGAGAGUUCUGUUGGCACUAGGUACGGAAAUAACUUCAUUUUCUCAGUGAAUGCAGUANCGGAAAUAACUCAUUUUCUCAGUGAAUGCAGUAUCAUAGUCAUCUAUGCUCAUCCUUCCCUUCUUCAAGUUUUGGAACUCAUUGUUUAAAUCAAUCAGAUCUAUCUCUAAACAGUAUUGCACCCUUAGUUGUUCCAAGAAUUCCUCCCAUGACAUUUUCAGGGCUUCUCCUCAUGGCAUAGUAUCUGCCAACAACUUCCACCAGCUCAAGACUCCAGUCUUCUGUUUGUUGCUAUAGUCGCAACUUUCAAAUACCAUCUCCAUUUCGGAGAUCCAAUCCAUAAUUUCAACAGGCUUUGGGCUCCCAGAAAGACUUGGCGGUUUGGCACCCAAGAAAUUCUUGUACAUUCGCCCAUCCUUGUUGCUUCUCCUUUCCGGAUCGUUCCUUCGUUCUUCUUGAGUCCCAAUUUGACUCACAAUGCGACUAUUGUUCCCUUCCUCCGAUUGUUCGGGAAUGGCUUUGGGCUCCUCAAUAGGUAUGAUUGGUUCAUCCCUAUUUCCAUGCAACAUCUGUCACAUUUCUUCCCUUUGUUCGGCUAACAUAGCCCGAAUCAUGGCUUGCACUCCAGCCAUGGUGAUCUGUUCUGGUGCAGCAGCUUCAACAGCAACUGGCUCGAUCACAGGUGGUUGGUUCCUUUUUUCAUUUGCGUUUCCAGCACCGCUCCUUGUUCUUGCCAUUCUUGAUCUAUACACCGAAUAAGGUGAAAUUAGAUCCUCAUCCGCGAUAGAUAUUACGGUCUUCCAUAUCACUCCGAAACGUUUACAUGCUAGUUCUAAUAUCGUCGUCAUACGCUUAGAAUCCUAUACACAUAAGGUUUCCUGAUCUGGUCGGCAACAGACCAUAGAUCCGAAAAAAUAAUAUCAUAUAUGGCAACAUAUAACAUUUAGCACAUAAAAGCAUUUUAGGCAACUUUCCUAAAAUAAACUAGUGCUCGUGUCUGAAACACUACAGACACACCUCAAAAUCUUCACUUAGCAUUCUAAGUUUAAGUCUAGAAAUUCUACAAAUUCCUAGUUCGCAUAAACUAAUGCUCUGAUACCAACUGUGACAUCCCCAAAAUCACGACCAUAAAAGACCGGUUUCAUUUAUGCUUUUUAAACAUUUUUUAGAGUAAAUCCUUUUGAUUUUAAAAGAGUUGCGGAAUUUGUUCCCAAAACAAAAUAUGAUAAAAUAAAGUGUAUCAAAGCAUUUCAUCAAGAGAUGCAUUUUUCAUUAUAUAACAAUAUUCGGGAUAUCAUGUUCCGAUAAACAGACCAAAAGCAUAAACGAUAACAUUACAAGUCAUUCAACAAAUAUAUACAUAUACAGACUUGUAAACAAAACAACUCGAUGAUUUAUCCAUCUUAUGCCCUUGCGCCACUUCCAGUAAUACCAAUAAACUGAGUGGGUCAGGCUUGGGAGCCUGGUGAGCAUAUAGGGUUUUCAACCCACAAUAAAUAAUUAUAUUUAACUCACCAACCAACAAUAACAAUAACCCGAUUACCCAUUCCCGUUAUCCUCACUUUACGUUCCUAAAACAACAUCUAUUACAAGGGACCUAAUCUAGGAUUUUCAUCGGGACGGACAUUACCGCAAAGGGCUUCCUUAACAAUAAAUGUGUGACAUCCCCAAAAUCACGGCCAGAAAAGACCGAUUUUCAUUUAUGCUUUUAAAUAAUUUCAGAGUAAAUCCUUUUGAUUUGAAAGAGUUGCGGAAUUUGUUCCCAAAACAAAACAUGAUAAAAUAAUAUUUAUCAAAGCAUUUCAUCAAGAGAUGCAUUUUCAUUAUAUAAUCAAAACUCGGGAUGUCAUGUUCCGAUACAGACCAUAAAGCAUAAACGAUAACAUUACAAGUCUUUCAACAAAUAUAUACAUAUACAGACUUGUAAACAAAACAACUUGAUGAUUCAUCCAUCUUAUGCCCUCGCGCCACUACCUGUAAUACAAAUAAAACUGAGUGGGUCAGGCUUGGGAGCCUGGUGAGCAUAUAGGGUUUUCAACCCACAAUAAAUAAGUUAUAUUUAAUUUCACCAACCAAUCACUAUCCCGAUUACCCAUUCCCGUUAUCCUCACUUUACGUCCCUAAAACAACAACUAUCUCAAGGGACCUAAUCUAGGAUUUUCAUCGGGACGGACAUCACUGCUAAGGGGUUUCCUCAACAAUAGAUAUCCUAAAGGCAACCAUGAGGGGGAUAGAGUACACCGGUGAACACAUCGUUCACAACACCUACAGGUUAUGAACCUGCUAGCGUUCCACUGGACUGUCUAGAAAGAGUCCGUGGUCGUUAUCCAUACUCCGCUGAAUAACUAGAUCAACAACAACAACAACAUCGAGGCCUCUCAUCUGUUUAUUACACACCAACUAUCUACCCAUGUUCUACCCAACAUAUUAGUAGAUAAAAAUAUAUAUUUUCAUACAUAGUUUAAAGAAAACCUGUAUAGCAUGCUUUAAUCAACACAUAUGUCACAUAACAGAUGAGGCACACACACAUAACACAUAUCUCAUAAAGAAAUAAGCAGAUCUAUAAGAUAGAAGAGAGUGAAUACUCAUUCACACAUAACACAACCAAAUAUAUACACAUAGCACGUAUUUUUAUAUAAAAUACUUCGUAUUAUUGUAUUAGAAGAAAUAACUACACACUCACUUGAUCAGAAGACGAUCCGACAGCACUACGGCUUAUAGAAGUAGUAAUCCACAGCAGAUCUGGAAGAUCUCCUCGAAAAUCGAACUUCUCGCGGGCAGAGCUUCGACUCGGGAACCGCGCUUCUCGGGAUCUUCGGGAUCUCGGGACUUGCCUCGGGGCUAGAGUAUGAUACCGGGGCUUCGGGGUAGCUUCGGCACGAAAAACGAUGCAAAAGACUAGAGAGAAGAGAAGAAAAUGAACAAGAAAUGAGGCUGCCUUCGGAUCCUUUAUAUAGAGGCUGGAACCUCGGAGUACGCGGGGCGUACAGGCGUACGCAGCGCGUACGCGUCCGAAAUCGUCAUUGCAUGCGUCAUCCGAAGUGUCGACACUAUCGGAGUUACGCGAUAGCGUAACCUCGUACGCGGGGCGUACUCCGGAUUACACCGGUGACACGGCUUCGGAUAAUGCCUCCGAUUUUGAAUUAAAUAAAAAUAUAAAAUGAUUAAUAAACUUCGGAAAUUCAUAACUUCUUCAUACGAACUCCGUUUUCGACGUUCUUUAUAUCCACGCGAAGGUGAGACCACGCUCUACGACUUUCGUUUAGACUCCGUCGGCUAAUUUUGACUUUAUUUUUAUUAAUUAUUUUUAAUAGGCCGCGACAGAAACUUUCGUUAUAAAUUCAUAACUUCUUCGUUUGACGUCCGUUCUCGCCUAACUUUUUAUCGCUUCGAUACCAACAAUGAGAUCUUCGAUUCUCAUUUAGAUUGCUUCGGCUAACAACCGCUCGAUCUCAAAUCGAGUAUAACAGGCUGUAUACCGCUAAGCCGGAACUUCGAUAAAUCAUAACUUCCUCAUACGAAGUCAGAUUUGGGCGUUCUAUAUAUAUUCGGAAACCUCGUUUCAACUACUACAACAUUAACCAAAGAUAUUAAGUUUAUUUUACACUUAAAUUUUGACGCUUAUUUUUAUUCUUAAUUAAUCAAACCACAUAAUUAAGCAAUUAAGCACAAAACACAUAAUACUCAAAUAAUACAAUCUUAUUAUUUCAAAACGGGUUACAAAGGUUAACCUAGACUAUUAUAUUGCUAAAAAUGGCAAGCCCGGAAACACAGGCGUUACAAUUCUCUCCACCUUAGAAUGAUUCCGUCCCCGGAAUCACACAUCAACAAACAAAUGCGGAUAGCGACUCAACAUGUCACUCUCCGUCUCCCAGGUGAGAUUCGGCCCAUUCGUGUGUUUCCAUCGGACAAGCACUAACCCAACCAUUUUGCGUCGCAACUUCUUAGUCUUUCGGUCAACAAUUGCCUCUGGUUCUUCAAUCAACCUUUUGUUCUCAUCAAUUCUCAAUUCAGAAAUUGGAAUUAUAUCGGGAACUUCUCCCGUGAACUUCCUCAAAUAACACACAUGAAAGGUGUUGUGAAUUCCAUUCAGUUCUUCGGGUAAUUCGAGCUUGUAAGCUUGGUUCCCAAUCCUCUGAAGAACUUUAAACGGUCCAAUAAACCUUGGACUCAACUUUCCCCUUUUACCAAAUCUUAUAAGUCCCUUCCACGGCGAGACUUUAAGCAAAACCGAAUCUCCAACCUCAAAAGUCAUCGGUCUUCGCUUCUUGUCAGCAUAGCUCUUUUGACGAUCUUGAGCUGCUAACAUUCUUUCCCUAAUUAUUUUCAACUUUUCAGCAGUUUGAUGAACCAUCUCCGGUCCCAUAAACUGCUUUUCCCCAGCCUCAAGCCAACAAGACGGCGUACGACACUUCUGUCCAUACAAAGCUUGAUAAGGUGCCAUCUUAAUGCUCGAGUGAAAACUAUUAUUAUAGGAAAAUUCUACCAACGGUAAAUGUUCAUCCCAAUUACCUAGGAAUUCCAAGGUACAUGCUCUCAGCAUAUCUUCAAGUGUUUGUAUUGUUCUUUCACUCUGACCAUCAGUCUGCGGAUGGUAAGCUGUGCUUAAACAUAACUUGGUACCCAUUUCCUCUUGUAGACUUUUCCAAAACCUUGAGGUGAAACGGCUAUCACGAUCCGAUACAAUCGUUAACGGAACACCGUGAAGCCUCACAAUUUCCUUCACGUAAGAAUUCGCAAGCUUUUCCAUAGACCAUUUCUCCCUGGCCGCUAUGAAAUGCGCACUCUUAGUGAAUCGAUCAACGACCACCCAAAUCAUGUCGUGACCAUUCUUUGUUCUGGGCAGUUUAGUGACAAAAUCCAUAGCAAUGUCUUCCCACUUACCCAUAGGCACAGGCAAAGGUUCUAAACUCCCGUACGGUUUCUGAUGUUGUGUCUUGACUCUCGCACAAGUCACACACUCGGCCACAUACUUUGCAACAUCAAGCUUCAUCGUCGGCCACCAGUAGUAGGGUUUCAGGUCCCUAUACAUUUUAGUGCUACCCGGAUGAAUCGAGUACAUGGUCUUGUGAGCUUCUUCCAUCAGAAGAUCUCUAAUUCCUCCUGACUUAGGUACCCAAAUACGAUCUUGGAAUACCUUCAGUCCAUGACCGUUAGUACCAAACACCAACGUUUUACCCAAACGUUCCUCCUUUCGGUCAUUUUUCUCAGAAGCUUCCUCUUGAGCUUUCUUUAUACUUUCCACAAUGGUCGAGACAACUUCAAUUCUCAACGCUCUUGGCCUCUUCCUUUCAAGAUUGACCUUCCGACUGAGAGCAUCAGCAACAACAUUAGCUUUACCGGGGUGGUAAAGUAUCUCGCAGUCGUAGUCUUUAAGUAAUUCUAGCCAGCGUCGUUGCCUCAUAUUCAAUUCUUUCUGAUUAAAGAGGUAUUGGAGACUCUUAUGAUCAGUGAAAAGUUUGCACUUCGUGCCAUAGAGGUAAUGCCUCCAUAUUUUCAGAGCGAAAACUACCGCUGCCAACUCCAAAUCAUGAGUCGGGUAAUUCUUUUCAUGCUCUUUCAGCUGUCGAGACGCAUAUGCUAUCACCUUUUCUCUUUGGGUCAAAACACAACCCAAUCCAACACCAGACGCAUCGCUAUAAACAGCGAAGUCUUCAACUCCAUCGGGUAGAGAAAGUAUCGGUGCCUCGCAUAGCUUCUUCUUUAACUUCUCGAAUGCUUCUUUAUGCUUCUCACUCCAAGCAUAAGUAGCUCCUUUGUGGGUCAAAGCUGUUAAUGGAGUAGCAAUCGAAGAAAAGCCUUGGAUAAACCUUCGGUAAUAUCCGGCUAAUCCUAAAAAGCUUCGAAUCUCCGUGGGACUUUUCGGUUGUUCCCACUUCGUCACAGCUUCGAUCUUCGCUGGAUCAACCAUUAUCCCUUCUUGGUUGACCACGUGACCCAAGAAUUGGACUUCACGAAUCCAAAAAUCACAUUUGGAGAACUUUGCAUACAGCUUCUCCUUCUUCAAGACUUCUAACACUUCUCGCAAGUGUCUGCCAUGCUCCUCCUGGCUUUUCGAGUAAAUCAGAAUGUCGUCUAUGAACACUAUCACGGAUUUAUCAAGGAACGGGUUACAAACCCUAUUCAUCAAAUCCAUGAACGCUGCUGGAGCAUUGGUUAGUCCAAACGACAUAACCAAGAACUCGUAGUGUCCAUAUCUAGUUCUGAAUGCAGUCUUCUCGAUAUCUUGCUCUCUUACUUUCAGCUGAUGAUAUCCUGACCUAAGAUCGAUCUUCGAGAAAUAGCUCGAACCUUGCAAUUGAUCAAACAGGUCAUCAAUCCUCGGCAACGGAUAUCUAUUCUUUAUUGUUGCCUUGUUCAGCUCUCUGUAAUCGAUGCACAUUCUCAUACUUCCAUCUUUCUUCUUUACAAAUAACACCGGAGCUCCCCAGGGCGAUGAACUAGGUCUAAUGAAACCUUUGUCCAAUAACUCCUGAAGUUGCAUCAUUAGCUCCUUCAUCUCCGUCGGUGCUAAUCGAUAAGGUGCUUUUGCUAUUGGCGUGGUUCCUGGUAACAAGUCUAUUCUGAACUCCACUUGUCUAUCAGGUGGUAAUCCAGGAAG